rnacentral:rRNA from 1 species
UAGAAGGAGAAGGGGAACCGGAUCUGRAAACUUUUUAUCCAUUUAUGGAGAGUAGCUUGUUAGAUGACCUUAACUGGUUGUUUGAUAUAGCCUCUCCCGUUGACCGUGCUUAAAUUCGCGUGUUCAAAGCAAGCAAUUUCGCUUGAAGAGUCUAGCAUGGGAUCAUAAAAUAUGAAGUUUACUCAAUUGUCUAUCUCUUGAGUAUGACUUAAUGACAAAUAGGGGCAAGCGGGGGCGGAGGGAUUCCGUUGUUAGAGGUGAAAUUCUUAGACCAACGGAGGACCAACAGAAGCCAAAGCGUCCGUCAAGGGUGUACCCAUUGAUCAAGAACGAAAGUUAGGGGAUCAAAUACGAUCAGACACCGUAGUAGUCCUAACCUUAAACGAUACCGACCGGGGAUGGGGAGAGGUAAUACUCUUAACCCUUCCUGUACCCUGCGAGAAAUCAAGAGUGUUUGGGUUCCGGGGGGAGUACGGUCGCAAGGCUGAAACUUAAAGGAAUUGACGGAAGGACACACAAGAAGUGGAACCUGCGGCUUCCAAUUCGACUCAACACGGGAAAACUUACCAGGUCCAGACAUGGGAAGGAUGGACAGAUUGAUAGCUCUUUCUUGAUUCCAUGAGUGGUGGUGCAUGGCCGUUCUUAGUUGGUGGAGUGAUUUGUCUGGUUGAUUCCGAUAACGAACGAGACCACGAGAGGGUGGUUGAGGUUGUAGAUGAGGAAUGAAAAUGGGGGAAGGGUUAAUUGUAACUGGCUUCGGUUAGUUCGGUUAAUUUGGAACCUUUGUUCCUUUYUACACUUACCUACCCCGACCGAAGUGUUUUAACACUUAGGAAGGUCGUGGCAAUAACAGGUCUGUGAUGCCCUUAGAUGUUCUGGGCUGCACGCGCGUUACACUGACUAAGUGAAAAAGUUUUUUUKSYUUGACUGAGAGGUCUGGCAAAUCUUUUAAACCUAGUCGUGAUGGGGAUAGAUGGUUGAAAUUAGGCAUCUUGAACGAGGAAUUCCUAGUAAACGUGGUUGAUCAAACCGCGUUGAUUACGUCCCUGCCCUUUGUACACACCGCCCGUCGCUCCUACCGAUUGAAUGAAAAGGUGAAAAGAAGGGAAGGA